ACGCUGGCGGCGUGCCUAAUACAUGCAAGUCGAACGAAACUUUCUUACACCGAAUGCUUGCAUUCACCGUAAGAAGUUGAGUGGCGGACGGGUGAGUAACACGUGGGUAACCUGCCUAAAAGAAGGGGAUAACACUUGGAAACAGGUGCUAAUACCGUAUAUCUCUAAGGAUCGCAUGAUCCUUAGAUGAAAGAUGGUUCUGCUAUCGCUUUUAGAUGGACCCGCGGCGUAUUAACUAGUUGGUGGGGUAACGGCCUACCAAGGUGAUGAUACGUAGCCGAACUGAGAGGUUGAUCGGCCACAUUGGGACUGAGACACGGCCCAAACUCCUACGGGAGGCAGCAGUAGGGAAUCUUCCACAAUGGACGCAAGUCUGAUGGAGCAACGCCGCGUGAGUGAAGAAGGUCUUCGGAUCGUAAAACUCUGUUGUUAGAGAAGAACACGAGUGAGAGUAACUGUUCAUUCGAUGACGGUAUCUAACCAGCAAGUCACGGCUAACUACGUGCCAGCAGCCGCGGUAAUACGUAGGUGGCAAGCGUUGUCCGGAUUUAUUGGGCGUAAAGGGAACGCAGGCGGUCUUUUAAGUCUGAUGUGAAAGCCUUCGGCUUAACCGGAGUAGUGCAUUGGAAACUGGAAGACUUGAGUGCAGAAGAGGAGAGUGGAACUCCAUGUGUAGCGGUGAAAUGCGUAGAUAUAUGGAAGAACACCAGUGGCGAAAGCGGCUCUCUGGUCUGUAACUGACGCUGAGGUUCGAAGCGUGGGUAGCAACAGGAUA
rnacentral:rRNA from 2 species